UUCCCUUCCACACUGCGGAAGCUUUGUUCUUUCGCUCUUUGCAAUAAAUCUUGCUACUGCUCACUCUUUGGGUCCACGCUGCUUUUAUGAGCUGUAACACUCACCGCGAAGAUCUGCAGCUUCACUCCUGAGCCCAGGGAGACCACGAGCCCACCGGGAGGAACGAACAACCCCAGACGCGCGGCCUUAAGAGCUGUAACACUCACCGCGAAGGUCUGCAGCUUCACUCCUGAGCCAGCGAGACCACGAACCCACCAGAAGGAAGAAACUCCGAACACAUCUGAACAUCAGAAGGGACAGACUCCAGACGCGCCACCUUAAGAGCUGUAACACUCACGGCGAGGGUCCGCGGCUUCAUUCUUGAAGUCAGUGAGACCAAGAACCCACCAAUUCUGGACACACAAUGAGAUAAUAACAUAAGUUUGAAAACUGCAAUUGGGCCUACUAAGGAACCAUGAUAGUGUUUGGUACAUAGAGGACACUGGAAAUGGUUUUCUUAACUGAACAAGUGACUAGAAUAAAGGAAUUAAUGAACGACAUCAGAGCUGAAAUCCCAAACCAUAAAUCAUAAAAGGAUCAGACAGCAAAGAGUACUCAAAAGCUGAUUUAUUGAGAUCCUGAUGAGUUUGAAGUAACUAGAAACUUGAUCAAACAGUGACAAGACCCAAGAUUUGUUUUACUCUAAAGUGAGAAAUUAUCCUCAACAAAAAAACAUUUCACAGUGAGAAUCAGAAGAAUAUUUGCAUCAGGCAACUCUGGGUGCUAGAUAUUUAUUUUUUUUCUUUUUCACAUGAACUAUAAAAACUUACCACAAAAGACUGAUCUCCACAACUGCUUAUACUCUAGGAUUAUUAUACAUUGCACUGUUCUUGCUGAUACUCCAAAGACAUGUAGAAAAUAGAAAGGUAUAUUUCUCUCUUACCAUUUAUAGUCGAUUUCUUGAAAGAUAUGUACAUGUCGUUACCUUGCGUUCACCCCGCAACUGACUUCUGUAUAAUUUUCUACUCACCACCAGUGAAAAUGCACCUGUCAAAGAAGUUCCACCAUUGGAAAUAAAAAUGAAAAAGAUUUUGCAAAGGCAAUUAAUAAUGAGUCAUCAGAGAGAAUGAAGCCACCAAGGAAAUCUAAAGUUUCAAAAACUUGGGAAAGGUCGACAAUGUCAGACAUCCAAGGGAUGACUGAAAAUAUUCUGCUAAUAUGCCAUUGGUGAACAAUACAG
rnacentral:lncRNA from 10 species